CAUUCUAUAAAAUCAUGUUAAAAUAGUCCUACAACUUGUAAGAGUCCGUUAUGGCUGAGACAAUGUUUACACGACAAGAUCAAGAAAGGGAAAACAUGGGAUGGUAGCAUUUCAUCACGUUUGUCAUCAUUGGGCCCGCCAGUUUGGUAACUUGGUCUCAUUCAUAUGAAGAACAGACGGGAUCUUUAGAUCAUUUCAGAUCGAUCUGCUCUAAAUUGAGAAGCAUAGAAUCAC
rnacentral:misc_RNA from 1 species